GGUGGCCUAGUGGUUAGAGCGUACGCCUCGGAUGCGGGAGACUGCGGGUUCGAACCCCGAAUGAGUCA